rnacentral:rRNA from 1 species
AGCAGUAGCCGCGGUAAUACGUAGGUCCCGAGCGUUGUCCGGAUUUAUUGGGCGUAAAGCGAGCGCAGGCGGUUUGAUAAGUCUGAAGUUAAAGGCUGUGGCUCAACCAUAGUUCGCUUUGGAAACUGUCAAACUUGAGUGCAGAAGGGGAGAGUGGAAUUCCAUGUGUAGCGGUGAAAUGCGUAGAUAUAUGGAGGAACACCGGUGGCGAGAGCGGCUCUCUGGCUUGCAACUGACGCUGAGGCUCGAAAGCGUGGGGAGCAAACAGGAUUAGAUACCCGCGUAGUCCCUGUCUCUUAUACC